AUUUGGGAGGUUGAACAUUUGAGCAAGCUCAGAAUAAUAGAUAAGGGGUGACAUAUGUUUGAACUGAUUUACAGAGGAGAAACACUAGAUACAUUUGGUGAUAAAAGAUUUUCUACACUGAGUGGAGGCAGAGAUCCGUGGUUUUGCUAUUGGAAAGUGGCGGGGCAACAAUGGUCUACUAUCUAGGAUCUGCAAAGAACUUAAACAAAUUAACAAGCAAAAAACAACCCCAUUGAAAAGUGGGCAAAGCCGUUAACAGACGUUUCUCAAAAAGCCGUUAACAGACAUACAAGCAUCCAACAAACGUAUGAACAAAUGCUCACCGUCACAAAUCAUGAGUGAAAUGCAAAUCAAAACCACAAUGGGAUACCACCUCACACCAGUCGGAAUGGCUAUUACUAAAAAGUCAAAGAAUAACAUGUGUUGGUGAGGCUAUAAAGGAAAGGAAACACAUACACUGUUGGUGGGGAUGUAGAUUGGUUCAGCCAGCAUGGAAAGCAGUUUGAACAUCUCUCAAAGUACUAAAAAUGGUGCUACCAUUUGACCCAGCAGUCCCAUUACUGAGUAUAUACCCCAAGGAAAAUAAAUCGUUCUACCAAAAAGACACAUAUACUCAAAUGUUCAUUGCAGCACUAUUCACAACAGCAAAGACAUGGAAUCAGCCUCGAUGCUCAUCAGUAGUGAACUGGAUAAAGAAAAUGUGGUACAUAUGCACCAUGGAAUACUAUGCAGCCAUAAAAAGAAUGAAAUCUUGUCCCUCCCAGCAACAUGGA
rnacentral:lncRNA from 1 species